rnacentral:misc_RNA from 1 species
UGGUGCAGUUUUCUUUAAUGGGGCCUCUUUUUUUUCUCUGGUGGUUGCAAGAUCCUGUCUUUUCUUUGUGCGAUGGAAAUGGGAGAUGGAGAGAAAUGGGAGGAGAAAUAGACGUGUCUGAGAGUGAAAAGAAACAAAAUUAGUUUUUAACAGAUUCAUUUAUGGAUGAUAUUUUUGGACAAUGAUAUAUAUGUCUAGUGAUAGGAAA